rnacentral:rRNA from 1 species
CCUACGGGUGGCUGCAGUGGGGAAUAUUGGACAAUGGGGGCAACCCUGAUCCAGCCAUGCCGCGUGUGUGAAGAAGGCCCUCGGGUUGUAAAGCACUUUCAGUGAGGAAGAACGCCUGGUGGUUAAUACCCAUCAGGAAAGACAUCACUCACAGAAGAAACACCGGCUAACUCCGUGCCAGCAGCCGCGGUAAUACGGAGGGUGCGAUCGUUAAUCGGAAUUACUGGGCGUAAAGCGCGCGUAGGUGGCUUGAUAAGCCGGUUGUGAAAGCCCCGGGCUCAACCUGGGAACGGCAUCCGGAACUGUCAAGCUAGAGUGCAGGAGAGGAAGGUAGAAUUCCCGGUGUAGUGGUGAAAUGCGUAGAGAUCGGGAGGAAUACCAGUGGCGAAGGCGGCCUUCUGGACUGACACUGACACUGAGGUGCGAAAGCGUGGGUAGCAAACAGGAUUAGAUACCCUUGUAGUC